UAACUGAGUAGUUGUUCAGGACUUGCUGUUGCUGAACCGGGUGUGGGCAAAAUAUGAAGGCGCUGCCAUAUAUUUCAUUGUAGAAGGCUGAUAAGCUCUGCAUUUCAUGGAACCUUCAUGACAAACAAACAUGGAAUGGCAGUGCAGGGUAAAAGUAGCAUUUUCCUCAGGCAGUAAAGAUAUACUGAAAUCCCCACUGACAUGAAUAUCAAGCUUCUGCUUAUCGCUGCAAACUCUUUCCUCUGUAUGUUCUGAUGCAUCUUUUGGCAGCAGCUAGAGACACACCAGCUAAACAUUGACUCUGCAAAAAUUGUAGCAAAACCACGGUGGCUAGUAA